rnacentral:ncRNA from 1 species
UUAGUUAUACUGUGUUUUAUGGUAUCUACUACUCGGAGAACCAUAGUAGUUCUAGAGAUAAUACGUGCAACAAACCCUAACUUCUGAAAGGGAUGUAUCUAUUAGAUAAAAGGUCAACGUCGGCUCUGCCCGUUGCUGCGAUGAUUCAUGAUAACUUGACGGAUCGCAUGGCCAACGUGUCGGCGACAUAUCACUCAAAUUUCUGC